rnacentral:rRNA from 1 species
UCGGGAAUAUUGCGCAAUGGAGGAAACUCUGACGCAGUGACGCCGCGUGCAGGAAGAAGGUUUUCGGAUUGUAAACUGCUUUAGACAGGGAAGAAAAAAGACAGUACCUGUAGAAUAAGCUCCGGCUAACUACGUGCCAGCAGCCGCGGUAAUACGUAGGGAGCGAGCGUUAUCCGGAUUUAUUGGGUGUAGAGGGUGCGUAGACGGGAAGUCAAGUUAGUUGUGAAAUCCCUCGGCUUAACUGAGGAACUGCAACUAAAACUGAUUUUCUUGAGUACUGGAGAGGAAAGUGGAAUUCCUAGUGUAGCGGUGAAAUGCGUAGAUAUUAGGAGGAACACCAGUGGCGAAGGCGGAUUGCUGGACGACAACCGACGGUGAGGCGCGAAAGCGUGGGGAGC